rnacentral:rRNA from 1 species
AUUGAACGCUGGCGGCAGGCCUAACACAUGCAAGUCGAGCGGAUGAAGGGAGCUUGCUCCUGGAUUCAGCGGCGGACGGGUGAGUAAUGCCUAGGAAUCUGCCUGGUAGUGGGGGAUAACGUCCGGAAACGGGCGCUAAUACCGCAUACGUCCUGAGGGUGAAAGUGGGGGAUCUUCGGAGCUAACGCUAUCAGAUGAGCCUAGGUCGGAUUAGCUAGUUGGUGGGGUAAAGGCCUACCAAGGCGACGAUCCGUAACUGGUCUGAGAGGAUGAUCAGUCACACUGGAACUGAGACACGGUCCAGACUCCUACGGGAGGCAGCAGUGGGGAAUAUUGGACAAUGGGCGAAAGCCUGAUCCAGCCAUGCCGCGUGUGUGAAGAAGGUCUUCGGAUUGUAAAGCACUUUAAGUUGGGAGGAAGGGCAGUAAGUUAAUACCUUGCUGUUUUGACGUUACCAACAGAAUAAGCACCGGCUAACUUCGUG